GCCUUUGUCGAUUAAUGGAAAUCACCCUGUCCAGUUACAUCGUUAAAUUUGAAUAACUCUCAGGGGGACAAGGGUUCGAAUCCCUCCAAAGGCA